GCAUAUCAAUAAGCGGAGGAAAAGAAACCAACAGGGAUUGCCCUAGUAACGGCGAGUGAAGCGGCAACAGCUCAAAUUUGAAAUCUGGCCUCGGCCCGAGUUGUAAUUUGUAGAGGAAGCUUUUGGCGCGGCACCUUCUGAGUCCCCUGGAACGGGGCGCCAUAGAGGGUGAGAGCCCCGUAUAGUUGGACGCCUAGCCUGUGUAAAGCUCCUUCGACGAGUCGAGUAGUUUGGGAAUGCUGCUCAAAAUGGGAGGUAAAUUUCUUCUAAAGCUAAAUACCGGCCAGAGACCGAUAGCGCACAAGUAGAGUGAUCGAAAGAUGAAAAGCACUUUGAAAAGAGGGUUAAAUAGCACGUGAAAUUGUUGAAAGGGAAGCGCUUGUGACCAGACUUGCGCCGGGCUGAUCAUCCGGUGUUCUCACCGGUGCACUCUGCCCGGCUCAGGCCAGCAUCGGUUCUCGCGGGGGGACAAAGGCCCCGGGAACGUAGCUCCCUCGGGAGUGUUAUAGCCCGGGGCGCAAUGCCCUCGCGGGGACCGAGGUUCGCGCUCUUGCAAGGAUGCUGGCGUAAUGGUCACCAGCGACCCGUCUUGAAACACGGACCAAGGAGUCAAGGUUUUGCGCGAGUGUUUGGGUGUAAAACCCGCACGCGUAAUGAAAGUGAACGUAGGUGAGAGCUUCGGCGCAUCAUCGACCGAUCCUGAUGUAUUCGGAUGGAUUUGAGUAAGAGCGUUAAGCCUUGGACCCGAAAGAUGGUGAACUAUGCUUGGAUAGGGUGAAGCCAGAGGAAACUCUGGUGGAGGCUCGCAGCGGUUCUGACGUGCAAAUCGAUCGUCAAAUCUGAGCAUGGGGGGCGAAAGACUAAUCGAACUAUCUAGUAGCUGGUUACUCGCCGAAG
rnacentral:rRNA from 1 species